rnacentral:rRNA from 1 species
AGAUUGAACGCUGGCGGCAGGCCUAACACAUGCAAGUCGAGCGGUAGAGAGGUGCUUGCAUCUCUUGAGAGCGGCGGACGGGUGAGUAAUGCCUAGGAAUCUGCCUAGUGGUGGGGGAUAACGUUCGGAAACGGACGCUAAUACCGCAUACGUCCUACGGGAGAAAGCGGGGACCUUCGGGCCUCGCGCCAUUAGAUGAGCCUAGGUCGGAUUAGCUAGUUGGUGAGGUAAUGGCUCACCAAGGCGACGAUCCGUAGCUGGUCUGAGAGGAUGAUCAGUCACACUGGAACUGAGACACGGUCCAGACUCUAUGGGAGCAGCAGUGGGGAAUAGUUGGACAAGUGGGCGAAAGCCUGAUCCAGCCAUGCCGCGUGUGUGAAG